rnacentral:lncRNA from 1 species
UUCGGGUGACUUUGGCCCGCCAGGGUGACUUUGGCUCAUUUUGGGAAAAAUAUAUUUUAGCAACUAUGGCAAUUGUACAAUAAAUUAUCAAGUAAAUUUCAUUAUACCGCACCAUCAGUACGAUAUGAACUGUUUGAAAAUUUUAAUAAAUUAUGCUAAUAUUUGUUAUGUUACGAAAAAAACGAAUUUCUAAAAUUUGGUCAUUCCACAUAAGAUUUUUUGACUGCAAAAAUUGGUUGGCAACCAAUAAUACUUCCAAGAGUAAGAUUAAUUGUGUAGUGGCAUAUUGAAAAUAUGUGAAUUCUUAACCUCCGUGCAUCGUUAUUUCAGUCUAAACAUAGACAGUAAGACGGUCGGAUAUUAUUUUGCAAGGUGCUACAAAAUUUAACGGUUUUCGGGUGACUUUGUCCCAGUUUGUUGAUUGUUGGAUUUUGGUCAUUGGUUGCUUCUAUAUUAAAUUAAAAUACUUCGUCUAAUUCUUCAUUUAGUGAGAGCUAUAGGGAUAAUGAAGAUCUACAUAAGCUGACUACUUUGACAGCUUUCCAGUAAAAUUCGAUGGAUUUGUAAGAGGUAGUAAUAACUGUUACGGUUAGGUGCAAGUAAUGGUACUGGGUGAAAGAAGUUUAUGGCAAUGGCCCGAAGUCCCCGUAAGAAAAUCCUACCACUUGGCUUAUGUUGAUUUCACUGAGCCAUUGGAACUUGUAGAUAACCGAUAUUUCUUUCCAGAUUUAAAAAAAAAAGCUUGUAAAUCGUUUUAUUGUUCAUUUUUUGUUAAGAAAUGAUGUUUUUUGUUAACCUAGGGUCCUAUGUAAAGUUUCAUGUUAGUUUUAGUUUUUCUUUGUUUGAAAUUUAAAUAAAUUUUUUUCACCUAACAAAA